rnacentral:lncRNA from 1 species
CUGUUCCAAGCAAUAAAAUGUAGGGCAGUUAGGCUGAGAUUUAUUUCAGAAAAAAAAAUCUAUAUGAAAAAAUCAUUAAUUUUUUUUUCUAAUUUAUAUUUUUCAAUUUUCAAAUUUCAUCAUAGGUUUCGGAAACAAAAUUCAAGUAGUAUACACAUGCCAUGAAAAGGAUGUACAUAUACAUUUUUAUUGCAUUACUAUGUAAGUUUUCUAUUUUCCUGGACUACUUGGCCUUAUUUGUUAACCUGAGCCUCAUGUGCAUAGUACAAUAAAAGGAUACUUUUAUCAGAUGGGAUUGUUGUUACAUUCAUGCUCAGGGUUUCCUUGCUGGUUCAGUGUCUUAUUCACUAGUUCCCUGGUGUAGCAAGCACAUCUUGUGUUUGAAACCUUGCAUGCUGGUGGGAAACAUCCUGGUCCUUUAGAUGCUACUGUAGGAAGAUCCAGCUGAAACAACAGAGUGUGUGCUCAAGCAAGGACUGAUCAUAAUCUUCCUGAUGCCAACCCUGUUGGCUUUGACCUGGACAGCAUAGCUCAGAUUCUGGCCCUGGUGAUGUCAACGAGAUCUUGCUAUUGAUCUUCAGACCUGAAUUUCAACAUACUGAGAUGCCUACAGUAUAUCCCUUCUACCUCAGCAUGUAUUUAUUUCCAGUGGACUCCCAGGUGGAUCUUCCUGAAAAUACUUGGAACCAAAUGUUUAAAGGCUUGGGUGAAGAGGAAGAGGAUUCUGCUGUAGGAGAGGCAUCAGGAGAUGUUCUACAUGUAGAAGAUAGGAAGUUGCUUUUACUAGCAGGGACAUCUUGCUGUGCUGAG